rnacentral:rRNA from 1 species
GACGAACGCUGGCGGCGCGCUUAACACAUGCAAGUCGAACGGAAAGGCCUGCUUUCCCUUGUGGAUUGCGGGUACUCGAGUGGCGAACGGGUGAGUAACACGUGAGUGAUCUGCCCCCAACUUGGGUAUAAGCCUGGGAAACUGGGUCUAAUUCCCGAUAGGACUGCAGGGUGGUGCCUGUGGUGGAAAACGAUUUUCUAGUGGUUGGGGAUGAGCUCGCGGCCUAUCAGCUUGUUGGUGGGGUAAUGGCCUACCAAGGCGGCGACGGGUAGCCGGCCUGGGAGGGUGGACGGCCACAUUGGGACUGAGAUACGGCCCAGACUCCUACGGGAGGCAGCAGUGGGGAGUCAUGCACAAUGGGCGGAAGCCUGAUGCAGCGACGCCGCGUGGGGGAUGACGGCCUUGGGGUUGUAAACUCCUUUCGACCGCGAGGAAGCCACCUGGUUGGAAGGGUGGUGACGGUAGUGGUAGAAGAAGCACCGGCUAACUACGUG